AUGCUCAAUUCAGCAGCACGGACUAACUUAGAGCGAUAAGAGAGAUUAGCAUGGCCCUGUACAAAGACGGCACGCGAGUUUGUGAAGCUGUUUUUCUUUAU
rnacentral:snRNA from 1 species